rnacentral:lncRNA from 1 species
CUGAAGUGCCAAGUUUGGAAGAGCAACAAGUGCUCUUACCUGCUGAGCCAUCUUCCCAGCCCCAACAUUAAAUAUUUUUUAACAUAUCUAUAUUGAUAGAUAAUAAGUGUUGUGUGACACUCCAUUGUAUAAAGUAGCUACAUUGUUCAUUCUGCCUCUGGAGAACAUCUGAGAUGUUUCUUGAGUUAUUUUAAUAAACAGUGUUGAAUGAACACACACUUGCGUGUGAGUGAGGAGAUCCUUCCAAAAGAGGGAUUGCCACCCCAGGAAUCCACAUCUUUACAUUUUAAUUGUGCUUAAUUACAGCUCAAUUUACUCUCUCAGCGGCCCUGCCUAGUCCUGUGGUUUCUAUCCCCGAGGGCACGCGGCAUCAUUAAAGUCUAUUCCCCAUUGUUGCCAAUAAAGCUGUAGGUUUUAAGGAGGCCAACCAACAGGGCUGGUUCUUGGCCAGGCUAAGAGCCAGUUGGGAAAUAAGACAAGUGGUUUAGAGACAGAGACCCAACCACCUCCCCCGGUUUGACCUUAGAACGGGGUGGGGGGGUGAGGGGGGGGUGUCAGGGAAGACUAAGCCUACCUACCACAGAGAACUUUCCCCAGAGAGGAAGAGAGACUACACUUCUGCAUUCAGGAUCUUUUUUUCAGUAGAGUUUCCCACAGAGGAAAAAUACAUGGUACAAUGUCCACCCCGUGCCCAGCCUCUUUGCCAUCUUGGUGGGAGGGAGGGAGGAAGAACGGAGGGCCUAGUGUUUAGAGGAAAUCCCUUGCUGAAGAAAACAGGAUGGAGAGGAACAUCUGGCUUCUUCUGUCCUGGUUUUGUUACUGUGUCUCUCUAGUGCGGACCAAGGCUGAGCAAACACUGACAGGGUUAUUAUUGGUCACAGAUGUUCUCUUUCCUAGCCAUUGCUUAGCCAUCUCCUGCGCCCUUCUUUCUGUUCUGCUGCUGGUCUCCAUCUUUGUUGGCAUAAGUAAUAGAUUCUGAACUUUUUGUUGGAAGCACACAUUGCU